rnacentral:lncRNA from 1 species
AAAUCUUUUGGGUUUUCAUUUAUAAAUUUUUUGGUUUUCAAAUACAUCAUAGGAAGUACGAUAAUGAGAGACUCGACAAAUUCAACUAUACUGCAACAAAUUAUGACACCAACUAAAAGAAUCGGUACUAUUGGACAUGACUUUAAAGAACAAAACAACACAAAAAACAAACUCAUAAUAUAAAAAGUCUCCUUAAGCUAGCUCCUGAAUGCAGUGAUCCUGACUGGAUGUUCCUAGGGUGUUUGUCAUGCUCAAGCUCUGGUAAGCAGAUCCACACCUAUAUGAGAAAAUAAGACCAAAUAGAGUUAAAAACUUAGAAUACUAUGUGAGACAAUAUCACUCCCUGUUGGACACAUGCAAGACAUGAUUGUGGCUAUUUUUUUAAAAUUGACCUUCGUGGCUUAUUAGCGCAAACUCAUCAAAGGUGACCUCAUAGAUAUGGAAAUACCUCACUAAAGUUUAUGUGGAUUCAAACUCCCAAUAAUCAUGGCCCAAAAUUAAUUUGCAAAAAUGAUCCAUUUUGCAAGAAUGACCGAUGUGGCCAGAAGUAGCUAAAGAUGCAAACUCAAAAAAGGAUGGGCCUUAAAGUAAUAUGACACCUAUUUGUGGACUCAAGAUUCUAAGACAUGGGUCAUUGAACCACUUUUGCACAAAUGACCCCAUUUUUGCAAGAAUGGCCGAUGUGGCCAAAAGUGGCUAAACAUGCAAGAUUUGGCUAAGACCUCGCGAAGCCAAGAACCUAAGACUCACUAGGAAGACCGAACCCUAUGUGAACUACCUACGUAUCCCGCCCCGAAAGACGAAAAUCAGUUAUGCGUAGUUCGGGAAGAUUGGAUACGGGCAAGAAUAAAAAAAUUACUGAUUUGGAGAAAAUAUAUUGUCUUUUUUUUAAAAUGAUGAAACAUGUAAACUCUUUUUGGACGUUCUUUUUCCCCUUUUUUGAUUUUUUUUACGGAAAAUGAUGGGAAAAUGCAAAAUCUUUUGUGGGAUUUUUCAUUUUUUUGUCUUUUUCUUAAAAAAAAUAUGAAAGAAAAACAUAACUGGGCCCUACUUACUUUAUUUUCACACUCCACCCUCUUUUCUCCCUCAUUUACCCUCAACCAUCAUUGGUCCGCCAAAUGACCCUUUUUACCCUUGAAGAAUGGAACAUGUAGCACAUAAGAUGCAUCAGGAUGGUCUUUUAUUUUUGAGUACACUUGUCCUAGACAGACCCAACCCCUGUGUUGAGUCCCCAAAGUCAAAUGCACGUGAUGCAAAUAAACGUUCCUACUAAGGAUACGGCAUGAGGCUCUGUUAUUCUAAGUUUAAACCUGAGGUUGUGUUAUAGACCUAGCUUACCCGAGUGGACAGCUUGAGCUGAGGCGGGGGCAACGUACCGGGAGCACGAAAGUCUACCCGGCCUUGUUGCUGACCUAAGCCUUGUUCUAUUUGGUAUGGCUUCUAACAAAAAAGUGGGCCACACGUACGUGUGCACCAUAUUUUUAGAAGACUCAGAAGGGAGGCGUAAGAAGACAGUUUAAUACAGUUCAAAUAAUAUCAAAGCAGUAAAAUAAGCGGCAAUUAGCACAUUAGGUCUACAAAUACAGUAAUAUUAACAAACAAUAAAGCCAAGCAUAGAUCAUAUUAACAAGCUCAAAUUUUGAAUCAUGAACCAGAGAUUCUGGGUUCUUAUCCCCAGCAAAGUCGCCAGAGCUGUCACACCUCCUUUUUUACCCGAAAUAGAUAUAAUGGAGUUUUUCCAAUUAAAGUGACAAUAAUCGAAAUGGAAUUAUUUAAUUAAUUCAGAGUCGCCACUUGAGAUAAUUUAUAGUGUCCCAAGUCACCGAUCUUAAAUCCCAAAUCGAGGAAAAUUGACUCUAUUUUAAAGUCUACGAAACCAAAAGACCGGGUAAGGAAUUCUGUUAACCCGGGAGAAAGCGUUAGGCACUCCCGGAUUUCGUGGUUUUAGCACGAUCGCUUUAAUCAUACGUAGCUUAAUAAAUUUAUUUAAUUACGUGUUUUAGAACCUAUGUGCAUUUCACCUCCGCUUUUAAUUGCUUGAUUAUUCGUAAUUUUGGAAUCAUCUAAAAACGAGUCACGCGUACGUGUACUAAAUUCGUUCGGCGCGCCAAGAAUCAUGUCAUGCAUAUGUGUACACAAUCAAUCAUGAUUUGUUAAUAUUAAGAAAGUUUGGUCGAAGUUGCGUGAAUGCAUACCUCUAUUUAUUUUUUAAAUCGUAAAUAUAUCACGCGAAAGUAUACAUAAUCACGAUAAUUUGAUUAAGAGCGUACCUAGAAGCAUACUAACGAUAUGAAUUACUUGUAAAAAAAAUAGAAUAAAAGCAUAUUUCCUCGUCUCAAUCCUUUAUUCUAUAUUGUAAUUUCAUCCUCUCUUUUCUUUUCAUUUUCUUGGAUUUACUUUGGGGCAUACAUUUUUUAUACUUUUUAGGCGAGUUGCAGUUUAGUUAUCCACCUUGAUUGACAUUGUUUAUUUUCGAAUAGUUCAAGAUUUGAAGAGUUUCUGAAUUAGAAUUCCUCCAAUAUUUUGCUUUACAUCUACUUUUGUACUCAAGGCGACGCUUCCACUUGCAUACAUUUCAAGGACGAAGGCUUCUAUUGGACUUUAAUAUAUAUUCAAAUAAAUAAAUUGAAUUUACAAACCAAAUCUUAUAAUCCAUAUUAAUUAAAUACAUAGAAUGAUAAAGAUUGCCACACAAAGAAAAAAAACAAAUAUAUAGAAUGUGAAAUACAACAAGAUUCCAUAUAUCCAAGUCAAAUACUAUUCAACAAAAAGAGGUAGAGAGAUAAAACUAGAAAUUAAAGAAGGCAAAAAUGAAGAGCUUACCUAUUGAAAGCAAAGAAACAGUUCGAAGUACCAAAUAAAAGCGGGACAUGAAUCGGAAUGGGCUUCACUCAACGGAAAAUUGCGACUGAACAAACACCUCGGACCACGACCUUCAACGACUCGAAGCUUGCCGGAAUACUCAAACUAAACUAGUGAUCAACAAACAGAGCAUAAAGUUUUUGCUGCGUUUUUUGAAGAAUGGGUGGCUGCUCUAGUUUUGGAGAUUAUGUUUCUUUAGUCGUUGCCCUCUCGUUCGUCCUUCCCUUCCCUUUAUUUAUUUAUGUAUACCUUUGCUUAUAUUUGAUUGAAUAUUUAACAAUCAACCACUUUCCUCUUUCUGGACUAAUUUGAUUAUCAAAGAAGAAAGAUGUAAAAACUGGAGCUAAGUUUAUUAUUGGAAAACAAAGUUGGGUUAAAAGUAUGAUGGGUUUUGGGGUUAUUUGGAAGAAGGCAGCGUCUUUUUUUGUGGUGGUGGGAUGCCGUUCUUUUCUCUAAGGGAUGUGGGUGAGGCUCGUUCUCUUCUUCCUUUGGCAGUGUACGGCGGAGAUGGAGUUUUGGAAGGAGUUCUGCCCGUUGGGUCUUGGAGAAGGAGAAGGAGCAUCUGUUGUCUCUCUUUCUCUUGAGUGUGUUGCGGCCGAUCGUUUUGUCUAGUGAAUUAGGUUAGUUCUAUAUAGAGGGAAUUAGGGUAUAUUUUAGAGAUGGGGUAUAUUGGGUAGUGCGCUUGGCCGAAUUUGGGCCUCUUUUGGGCCAAGGCAAGCUCAAAAUAAUAGUCUUCUCACAUAAAAACAAGAGAAAAUUAGUCCAAAAUUUUUAUUCUUAUCUUUUUUGGAAAAA